UAUAGAAAGAAACUAUUAGGGAAUCAUUGCAAUAUAUCAAAGAGAGAUCUUUUUAAUUUGUAUAAAACAUGAACUCUAAGAGAAAUUCAAUAAUAAACGAAGUAAAUUGAAAUAUCUUAAUAACUUUAGGAAAAGAAAUCAAAAGAGAUUCUAUGAUUAGUGAGAAUGAAAAUAGAGAAGCCUAAAAAAUAAUAAGUAAAAUGGGUUAAAACCUGUUUGAAUAAGUAAAGGGGAACCUUCCUCUAAGGCUAAAUAUGGUAUAUUGAGCGAUAGUAAAUAGUACCGUGAGGGAAAUGAAAAAAAUAGUAGUUUUAUAAGCAGCUCGAGAAGAAAAUUUAAAUAAUAUUGAGAGCGUACCUUUUGCAUAAUGGGUCAGCAAGUUAAUAUUAGAUGCGAGCAGUAAAUGCCUAGAUAACUCGGUUAAUACUAUAGUGAGAAGUAUCUAAAAUUAGACCCGAAACCUAGUGAUCUUACCAUGAUCAGAAUUAUAAAAGUUCGAACGGGUUAUCGUUGUAUAGAUAUCCGAAGAAUUGUGGUAAGAUGGUGAAAGAUAAAACUGACUAGGGAUAGCUGGUUUUCUGCGAAACCUAUCUAAGUAGGUCAUUUAACUAACAUCAUGCAGGUACAGAACUUGAUCUUACAUGGCUAGUCGAAGAGAUAUUUUUUAAUAACAUCGGGGGAUCGUGAAGAUUUUAUCGUUAAGUAUUAGGUCUCGGAAUGGCAAAGAUGAAUGUUAAAUAAUCAGACAUAGUAUGCUAAGGUUGUAUGUCAAAAGGGAAACAGCCCAGAACAAGUGUAAAUAUAAGGUUCCAAAAUUAUUGUUAAGUGAAAUAAAGAGAGUUUUUAUCUAAUUCGAUCAGGUGAUGGGCUUAGUAGCGGCCAUUUUUUAAAGACCUCGUAACAGAGCACUGAUUCAAACGCCGGAGUAUAUCCGGAGGAUAAAAACAUCGAAGAUUUAACGGAUCUAUUAAACAAUAUACCGACACCUUGUCCAUAAUUAUAAUCGGAAUCCAUAUUAAGAGAUGGUCUGUCUAAUUUAAUUAUGGGGUAGCGGAACAUUGGGUGAUAUUAUUAAAUUAUUCUUUUUAAGAAUAAAAACACAUUAACCCAAGUGAGAAUGCUGACAUGAGUAACGAAAAAGGAAAAUUUUCCUCGCCUUAAGCUUAUGGAAUUAUAUGUAAGUAACGGCCUCUAAGUUUAUUGUUCUAAUGGACUAAACGAUGAGAAAACCUUGUUUAUUAAGUAACAACCUUAUAUGAGUGUAUAAGUGUUCUGGAAAAACAAUAAGCCACGUAUUUAUAAGAAAAUAAACUAAAAAGAUGAUUCUUAUAAAAAGGUGAUGAACCGUACCUAACGCACCAUGAGGUAAGCUAGUAGAGAAUACGAAGGCGCUUGAGUGAACAAUCAUUAAGGAACUCGGCAAACUAACUACCGUAACUUAGGGAGAAGGAGUGCCGAUCCUCCUGUUUAAUAUCAGGUAGGAUAAGGAAGCAUAGAAUCGUGUUGUCCGACUGUUUAAUUAAAACAAAGCACGCUGCAUUAAGAUGAAAAUUCAAAGUAUAGAGUGUGAUGUCUGCCCGAUGCCGGCUGGUUAACGGAGUUUCUUAGUCGGAUUUUUAUAAUGAAGGCUUGGUUUUGAAGGAUACCCCGGUUAAUGGCGGCCUUAUCUAUGAGGGUCCAAAGGUAGCAAAAUACCUUGGCCACUAAAUAUGGUCUUGCAUGAAUGAUGUAACGAUACAACAGCUGUCUCGAUGAUUGGCUCAGUGAAAUUGGAAUAGCAGUAGACCCUAUGCAGCUUUACUGUUGCUAGUCACUGCGUGUGAUCGAACUAUUAGUAGUGAAUAAGGUAGUUGUUUAGACAUAGUUGAAACACCUUUUUACGUUUAUCACAUUGCUGGGGGAGAACAACGGCUAGGUGGCAGUUUAUGCGGGGCACAGAUCCCAUAAAGAGUAGCUGGGUAUAUCCUAAUGCAAGUAAGAUUUUAACUAUAUUGACAAUAGCUGUAAUAAAUAAAAUUAACAUUUUCUAGGAGAUGUAAUAUGUAUUUAAAGUUGCUUAAAUCCAAUCUCUCAAUAUUGUGAAUAGUGAUUUUGAUAAUUACUUGUCAAGUUUAAUGGCAUAAUCUUGCUUAACUGUCUGACCUACACGUCUAUCAGUCGCGUAAGCGGGGCAUACGAUCACGAGAUACAUAAAGGACUGAUCUCGUAUUAUAGAAUAAAGUUACGCUAGGGAUAACAGGCUGAUUGCGCUUGAGAGUACAUAUUGGGAGCGCAGUUUGGCACCUCGAUGUCGGCUUAGCUUAUCCUCAUGAACGCAGGAGCCAUGAAGGGUACGACUGUUCGUCGUUUAAAAAGCUACACGAGCUGGGUUAAAUACGUCGUGAGACAGUAUGGUUUCUAUCUUCUAGUGGUAAUUAGAGUAAAAUAAAAUCAGCCCCUUUGUACGAAAGGAACUGGGUACAUUAACCUCUGGUUUACCUGUUGUUUAUGUGGACAAUAUUAAUUGUAAUUAUACUAAAUAUAUGAUACAAAAAGAAUUUUACUGACACUUAAGUAAAUAAUAGCAUAGGCACGGCAGGAAAGCUAUGUUUGU
rnacentral:rRNA from 1 species